rnacentral:rRNA from 1 species
UACGUAGGGGGCGAGCGUUGUCCGAAGUUACUGGGCGUAAAGCGCGCGUAGGCGGUUUCUUAAGUCUGGUGUGAAAGGUUCAGGGCUCAACCCGAACAGUGCACUGGAUACUGGGAGACUUGAGUAUGGGAGAGGAGAGCGGAAUUCCUGGUGUAGCGGUGAAAUGCGUAGAUAUCAGGAGGAACACCGAUGGCGAAGGCAGCUCUCUGGCCUGUAACUGACGCUG